UCUUUGUUAGUAUAUCGGUUAGUACACGCGCUUGUCAUGUAUAACUGAUCGCGCGAAAGCCGGGUUCGACUCCCGGACAGAGAG